rnacentral:rRNA from 1 species
GACAGAGGUGCCGAGCGUUAGGCGGAAUCACUGGGCGUAAAGCGCACGUAGGCGGCUUUUUAAGUCAGGGGUGAAAUCCUGGAGCUCAACUCCAGAACUGCCUUUGAUACUGAGAAGCUUGAGUCCGGGAGAGGUGAGUGGAACUGCGAGUGUAGAGGUGAAAUUCGUAGAUAUUCGCAAGAACACCAGUGGCGAAGGCGGCUCACUGGCCCGGUACUGACGCUGAGGUGCGAAAGCGUGGGGAUCAAACAGG